rnacentral:rRNA from 1 species
GACGAACGCUGGCGGCGUGCUUAACACAUGCAAGUCGAACGGAAAGGCCCUGCUUUUGUGGGGUGCUCGAGUGGCGAACGGGUGAGUAACACGUGAGUAACCUGCCCUUGACUUUGGGAUAACUUCAGGAAACUGGGGCUAAUACCGGAUAGGAGCUCCUGCUGCAUGGUGGGGGUUGGAAAGUUUCGGCGGUUGGGGAUGGACUCGCGGCUUAUCAGCUUGUUGGUGGGGUAGGUGCUUACCAAGGCUUUGACGGGUAGCCGGCCUGAGAGGGGUGACGGGGUGAAUAGGCCUAAGGUAAGCAGCAGACGCCUACGGGAGGCAGCAGUGGGAAGACUGACACAGCCAGCGGAAGCCUGAUACAACGGUGCUGCGAGCGGGAAGAGCUGGUUCGGGUGGUGAACCGAUUUCGCCGGGAACGAAGCGUUCUUGACGGUAAUGGAUAAGAAAGCAACGGCUAACUACGUG